GGUUACUGUGCCCUAGUGCCCUUUUCCCAUCGCACUUGGAAAUGUCAGCUAUGCAGAAGAACUGCCAUGCAGGCUCCAGGAACGUCUCCAGAGCACCAGACCAGGGAGGAUGAUGAGGUUGGAAUUGGCAACCAGCCACCUCUGUUAAUGUGGUCCUUGCUGCCUGGUAUCCAAUGGACUCUAUCUCUUAAGAAACCAAUAAUUAAGAUCCUCAGAAGGUGGAGGUGAGCAGAAGAGACAG
rnacentral:lncRNA from 1 species